GGCCUCGCAAGAGGAACUUGGUGACAGGUGCUGCAUGGCUGUCGUCAGCUCGUGUCGUGAGAUGUUGGGUUAAGUCCCGCAACGAGCGCAACCCUUGUCUUUAGUUGCCAUCAUUAAGUUGGGCACUCUAAAGAGACUGCCGGUGUCAAACCGGAGGAAGGUGGGGAUGACGUCAAGUCCUCAUGGCCUUUAUGACCAGGGCUACACACGUACUACAAUGGCAGGUACAAAGGGCAGCCACUUAGCGAUAAGGAGCGAAUCCCGUAAAACCUGUCUCAGUCCGGAUUGGAGUCUGCAACUCGACUCCAUGAAGUUGGAAUCGCUAGUAAUCGCAGAUCAGCACGCUGCGGUGAAUACGUUCCCGGGCCUU
rnacentral:rRNA from 1 species